rnacentral:rRNA from 1 species
GGAAGUUAAGUAAACCAAGGGCUUACGGUGGAUACCUUGGUACCUGGGGCCGAAGAAGGACGUGGCCGGCUGCGAAAAGCCUCGUGGAGCUGCCAAGCAAGCGUAGAUGCGGGGAUAUCCGAAUGGGAGUACCCGCCAGGGCAAACCCCUGGCAUGUAUGGGUGAAGGAAGUAGCCCAUACAGGGGAACCGGGAGAAUUGAAACAUCUUAGUAUCUCGAGGAAAGGAAAUCAAAAUGAGAGUCCCUCAGUAGCGGCGAGCGAAAGGGGAUUAGCCCAAACCUUAUCGGUGGCAAAGGCUGCAGCCGUUGCCGAUAGGGGGUUGAGGAUGAAGCUAUCUGUUCCUGCAGGGACAGGAAAGGACUGGAAUCUCUAGUCGAACUGUGUGGAAACACAGGCCGUAGAGGGUAAAAGCCCCGUAGACGAAAGGGAGGAAGGCUUUUUGGCUUCAUCCGGAAUACCACGGGCUAAGGGAAAACCUGUGGGAAGCUGGGAGGACCACCUUCCAAGGCUAAAUACCGCCAGGUGACCGAUAGUGGACCAGUACCGUGAGGGAAAGGUGAAAAGAACCCCGGAAGGGGAGUGAAAGAGAAUGUGAAACCGUAAGCCUACAAUCAGUGGAAGGGCUAUUUAAAGCCUGACCGCGUACUUUUUGCAGCACGGGCCAGCGAGUUGCGUUGUGCAGCGUUAAGGUCAAGCCGCAACAGGCGAAGCCGCAGCGAAAGCAAGUCUGAAGAGGGCGUAAGUUGCACGGCGCAGACCCGAAACCGGGUGAUCUAUCCAUGGACAGGGUGAAGCGGGGGUAACACCUCGUGGAGGCCCGAACCCAUUGGCGUUGAAAAGCCAUGGGAUGAGCUGUGGAUAGGGGUGAAAGGCCAAUCGAACCCGGCCAUAGCUGGUUCUCCCCGAAAUAGCUUUCGGGCUAGCCUCGUCAAGACUUUGUGGGUGUAGAGCACUGAUUGGACUAGGGGCCAAAUAAGGCUACCGAAUCCAUUCAAACUCCGAAGCCUACAGAGAUUUUUGGCGGGAGUCAGAUUGCGGGGGAUAAGCUCCGCAGUCAAGAGGGAAACAACCCAGACCGCCAGUUAAGGUCCCCAAGUGCAGACUAAGUGGAAAAGGAUGUGAGGUCGCGAAGACAGCUAGGAUGUUGGCCUAGAAGCCGCCACUCAUUUAAAGAGUGCGUAACAGCUCACUAGUCGAGUGACUUCGCGCCGAAAAUGUAUCGGGGCUAAAGUCUGCCACCGAAACUGCGGGUCAGUGGAUUUUCAUCCACUGGCGGUAGGGAGAGCGUUCCGUACGGAUUGAAGCUGUACCGCAAGGAGCAGUGGACUGUACGGAAGCGAGAAUGCUGGCAUGAGUAACGAUAAAAAAGGUGAGAAUCCUUUUCGCCCAAAGCCCAAGGUUUCCUGAGGAAGGCUCGUCCGCUCAGGGUUAGCCGGGUCCUAAGCCGAGGCCGAAAGGCGUAGGUGAUGGACAACAGGUUAAUAUUCCUGUGCCGCCGUAAGGCGUUUGAGUGAAGCGGUUACACAGAGGGGUAGACCCACAGAGAGAUGGAGCUCUGCAUAAGCGUGUAGGCAGACAGCAUAGGAAAAUCCGUGCUGUCGACGCUGAGGCGUGAUGAGUAGCCCCUUCGGGGGUGAAGCGGUUGAUCCCUAACUGUCAAGAAAACCCGCUAGCAAGUCUUAUGGCGCCCGUACCGCAAACCGACACAGGUGGGCAGGGAGAGAAUCCCAAGGCGCGCGAGAGAACUCUGGUUAAGGAAUUCGGCAAAAUGGCCCCGUAACUUCGGGAGAAGGGGUGCCGCGAGUAGGUGUAGGCCUUUACGGUUGAAGCUGAAAGCGGCUGCAGCGACACAGGCUCCUCCGACUGUUUAUCAAAAACACAGGUCUCUGCUAAGACGGAAGUCGAUGUAUAGGGGCUGACGCCUGCCCGGUGCUGGAAGGUCAAGGGGAAAGCUUAGCACGGCCAAUUUAGGCUGUGCGAAGGCUAGAACCUAAGCCCCAGUGAACGGCGGCCGUAACUAUAACGGUCCUAAGGUAGCGAAAUUCCUUGUCGGGUAAGUUCCGACCCGCACGAAUGGCGUAACGAGGGGAGCGCUGUCUCAACCAGGGACUCGGUGAAAUUGUGGUGCCUGUGAAGAAACAGGCUACCCGCGACAGGACGGAAAGACCCCGUGGAGCUUUACUGCAGCCUGAUAUUGGCUUCUGGCAUCGGAUGUACAGAAUAGGUGGGAGGCAUGGAAAUCGGAGCGCCAGCUCCGGUGGAGCCGCCCGUGGGAUACCACCCUUCCGAUACCGGGAGUCUAACUGGCGGCCGUAAAUCCGGUCACAGGACAUUGUCAGGCGGGCAGUUUGACUGGGGCGGUCGACUCCCAAAUUGUAACGGAGUCGCCCAAAGGUCCCCUCAGUGCGGAUGGAAAUCGCACGAGAAGAGUGUAAAGGCAUAAGGGGGCUUAACUGCGAGACAUACAGGUCAAGCAGGUGCGAAAGCAGGGCUUAGUGAUCCGGCGGUAUAGCGUGGAAUUGCCGUCGCUCAACGGAUAAAAGUUACCCCGGGGAUAACAGGCUUAUCUCCCCCAAGAGUUCACAUCGACGGGGAGGUUUGGCACCUCGAUGUCGGCUCGUCGCAUCCUGGGGCUGAAGCAGGUCCCAAGGGUUGGGCUGUUCGCCCAUUAAAGCGGCACGCGAGCUGGGUUCAGAACGUCGUGAGACAGUUCGGUCCCUAUCCGUCGCGGGCGCAGGAUACCUGAAAAGAGCUGUCCCCAGUACGAGAGGACCGGGAUGGACACACCGCUGGUGUACCAGCUGUUCCGCCAGGGGCAAGCUGGAUAGCUACGUGUGGCAGGGAUAAGCGCUGAAAGCAUCUAAGCGCGAAACCUCCUUUGAGAUUAGGUAUCCCGCUCAUAAGAGCUAAGACCCCUGGAAGACUACCAGGUCGAUAGGCCGGUGGUGUAAGUGUGGCAACACAUUGAGCUGACCGGUACUAAUUGGUCGAACACUUAACACU